AUGCCAAUGCAGUACUGGUCCAUCGAGGGGGCAUGGGAGGUCUUCGGUGACAAGGUGCACAUCGAUCGCCUCGACAGCCACACGCUGUAGCGCGGCCACACCAAGACCUUUGCGUGCUGGGUCUGGGUGUGGGACAUGGCGUUCAUCCCCACCAGGAACACCUACUGGAAGCUUCCCCAUGGCGCUAGCCAUGUCGAGGAGAUGGAGGGUUUCUCGUUGCCGGAUCGCAGGGUUGCUCCUCCUCCGGGCGCAGCACGGUAUGACCUCCUCAUCCACAUCGACCGCAUUGAAGACUGGUCACCAAGAUCACCAUGCUCCUCCCACUCGGCGUAG
rnacentral:rRNA from 1 species